rnacentral:rRNA from 1 species
AAACUUUCAACAACGGAUCUCUUGGUUCUCGCAUCGAUGAAGAACGCAGCGAAAUGCGAUAAGUAGUGUGAAUUGCAGAAUUCAGUGAAUCAUCGAAUCUUUGAACGCACAUUGCGCCUCCUGGUAUUCCGGGAGGCAUGCCUGUCCGAGCGUCAUUA